UUCAGAGAAGAAGACUGCAACAAGUUGGAAAAGAGUUCUAGUGAUUCCAUAUCAAAACCAUGCUGAUUGUAUCCUGAUGAUAGAUCCUUGGAGCCAGAACAGAAGAAAGUGGAUCCAUUCUCCUGGCAAAAUGAUUUAGAAACACCUCUGUAGUUCCAGCAAUAAUCAUGCCUCCCCCACUGGCACCUACCACAGCUUUCAGUUGCUCAUCCUUCAACACAACUGUAGGCGUCAUGGAUGAAAGCGGCCGCUUUCCAGGGCUAAUAAAAUUGGCAGGUG
rnacentral:misc_RNA from 1 species